UCAGCUGUGCAUUCGCGCGCGCGCAUCAGUUUGGGCCUGUACCUUCCAGCGUGCAAGCGUGAUAAGUGACAUUUCGCGGAAAAAUAAAACUGUCAAGUUUCCCGCCAAAUUGAUUUGCGGCGCAAAAGAAAAAAUCGACGUGCCAGUAACCAACUACCUCACUCAACCAAAGAACAAUGCGUAGAAUCUCGCCAACCAACCCAGUGAGGCGCUGUCUCUUCCCAUCAGAAGGUGAUGACGAAGGUAAACGAGACAAUAUUAAUAACGUCUUCCAAGAAAUGUACAAACAAGAGGCAGAAAGGGCCAAGGAGCAAUGGAACUAUGAUACAGAAAAUGAUGCCCCCUUACCCGGCAAAAGACCGGUCUAUUGGAAAGGCAAAAACGAAAACGGCGUUUGGGUUGGCGUAAUAAAUGAUACAGACACGGAUGAAAACGAUGAGACAGACGAGGAAAAUAAGUCAGAUGAUAAUGAACCUAAAGAAGAAGCAAUGCAGCUUGAAGCUACUCCAGCUCCUAAAGCAGCAGUAAAAGAACCUCCUACUCCUACUAGGAAAAGGUCUAGGGAAAAUAGUCCCAAUGACACUAGCGCUAAACGCAAACUAGAUCUGUAAAAAAUAAAUGUUGUUAAUCACAAGAACUUAUUUACGAAGAAAAUUACAACAAAAGUUCCAGUAAGGCGUUGUGUACUUACAAGUAAAUAUUUGGCUUUAAAUUGAUGACAGGAAUAUUUAUCUAAGCAUUAAAUUGCACGAGAAAUUAUGAUGCCAUGAGGCUUUUAUGUAUAAUUUUCUGGGAUCUCAAAAUUUCUAUAUUUUCGGUACAAGAUGUCCACUGGAGAGUUUGUGUUCCAAUGAUCUCAGACACCAGAAAUACGCUUCGAACCCUAUCGAAUAUACAUACUUUACUUCUAAUGUCCAGUAUUUCAAAUAGUUUAAAUUUUAGUUCCAAUAAUCACUAAUGACUAAACCGAAGAAUUCCAAAACUCUAAUAACUAUGAAUAUUAUUAUUUUAUUUUUACGCAGAUGCCCGUUUUAAAUUAAAUAUUAUCCUAUUAUUAUCUAAAUUAUGUAUUUUAUCCUACAUCCUCCCUUAUUAUCAUAAUUUUAAAAUACGUGAAAACGUACUACCUACACUACUACUCGUACUACCACAGAAUACAUAAUAGUAGCAACAGAAAUUGCACUCCUUUGUGUAGGAUCAGAUGCCGACAUUUUAACGGUAAUAAUAAUAAUGCAAAAUAUCCAACGCACAUAGUGCAUUCGAAAUCGCACCUUACUACUACGAUCACAAGAGCGCAUUUUUUUUGUGUUCAGAAUUGAUCUACGUCACCGCUCAAGCGUCAGGGUUGUAUGAGCAAAGUAAAAUAUGUAAAUAAAAACUUAAUUUUAAGAAGCAUUUAUUGUAUUUACGAUUGGUAAACUUUAAUCUAGUGGAGUUUGUAUAAUCGUACCAUCUCUAAAGUACCUAUUAAUAAACUUCAGUGUUGCGAUAAUUCGAAAUUAAACAAACAGUUAUAAAAGGUGUAGUGUCGGAAAAUAGACACGGUGAAGUAAAGUUAAUGUUUUUAUUAGCUAAAAUAAUUUUUUUGCUAUAGUUUUUGUCAUAUUUCAAAAUAAUUUAUUAUUUAAAAAGUGUAGUUUUUUUAUUAUUUAAAUAACUACAGUUAAUUAUUAUCCUAAAUAUUACAAUAAUUUUUCAUUAAAGAAGAAUAACAAUGCUGUUGGAACAAUAAACCUUGAUUGCGAUUUGCGACUAUGAUCGACCGAGCGUGUAUAGAAAUACGCGUGUGCAAACAGGCGCGUGGCGACCCGGACUGAUUUGCAACUUGAAGUUGUCGCGCGCUGUAGGUAAUUAUCUCGGCCGGCAUAGGCGAGUGACGGAGGCCUGGUACUACUACGACGGGGGGACCCAAUUAAGGCUCAAAAAGCGUACUCUUUCUAAGGCAGUUGGAUAAAAAGACUAUCAUCCUUUCCACCUUCCAUGACCAAGUUUAUGUAAUCAAUAAGUGAUAAAUGUGCCACUAUAUUGAAUAUGAAAUAUAGCAAAUGGAUACCAAGAAUGAAUGGAUUUAUGUGAAAUUAGUUAGUGAUUGUAUGUAUCUUAUUUAUUAUUCGUAGCUUAUAGAUUUAUUUUUAGAUACUUGUACGAGUAAUGUAAAAUCGAUUCUAUGAAAUAAAUAAACGGCCAGUCAUUUAAUAAAUGAUGCUCAAAACUAGAUUCAAUUCCAGUUUUAAUUUAAGACAGAUUUUUUAUCCUUUUGUAGGUCUAUUCCACUUUAAAAACUUACAAAAGUUCCUUUGAUCACCUAUGAAUAAGAAGUCCACUUUGAUCACCUAGGUGAUCUUAUCCAUAGGUGAUCAAAGGACACCAAAGUGUCGCCUUGAGUCCACUUUGAUCACCUUGGUAAUCAAAUCCAGGUGAUCAAAGUGGAAAGGACCCUACCAACCGGUCAAUAGGGAAAAUAUUAUGGGAAGCUAUGUGCAGCCGUGGACAUCCUUUGGCUGAAGUUAAAAUGAUGAAUCUGAAUAUUGAAAUUCAAUAUUCAACUGAAAUCUAUAGAUUGAUGAGUCUUGAGCUUCAUUCCGUAAUAUUUUUAAUUUAUUGAUCUUUAAUAGAUUUAGAUUAUGAAUAUUAUUAAUUUAUGAAUGUCAAAACAUCAUCUAUGUAGGAACUGGAUUGUUUAAAAAAUGUGUCUUUUUUUUAUUUUAUAAGCAAGAAUUUAAUACCUACUAAAAUUAUGAAAAUGAACUGACUUUGAUAUCUUUUGAUUAAAUUGUAAAAAUGAUAUUGAGGACGAUUUUGGACACCGAUUAAAUUUAAAAUGUAUAAAAGUAUAUUUUGUAUAAAAGUAGUAGAUUUAUUAAGUUAAUAAUGAAAUUAAACAAAGGACAACAGGCUUUAUAUUAAUUAACCAGACAGAUGUUCUAUCAUAUUUUUUUUAAAUAAAUUAAUGUUACAGAUACUUUAUUUAUCUAAAAAUAAUUUCGCAUAAUAUUCCUUCAAUUUAUAUCUAAUAGAUUUUUUAAAUCAUAAAUCAAAUAAUUAAAAAUAUCCUUUGAUAAAACUCGCCUGCACAAAUGCAUUCCUAUUUAUUAUUAUAAUAAUAACAAAAUUAAUACAUCACAUGUAUAGCUAAGAAAUGUACACAACAAUAUCUUAAAGUAUAAGAACUUAAAUGUUAAAGGUAUUUUAUUUUAUUAGACGAAGAUGCAGAUGACAGCAUCAAGCUAUACACUAUGGCAUCUUAUGACGUCAUAAUAGAUGCUAUUUUUAAACAAAAAUCUAUGGCCUAAUGUGAUUGCUGUACAGUCAGCGUCAAAUAGUUCGUGACACCCAAAGUGGCCAAAAAGAGGGUUGUUUCCUGGGUAAAAAAGCAAGAGUUUGAAUCAGUCCGUCAGUUAACUUAUCAAAAAAUACUCGACACGUAUUUUUUAUUUUUUCAAACUAAUGAAAAUUUAAAGAGGUAAAGCGCGCCAAAGAUCAAAAGAAGAGAAGAGAGGUCCGUGACGUCAACGACUGCUUAAAAGUGUAGCACUUUCUGACGACACGCGCAACUUCAACGCACCAUAACUUCGUAAUUACUUGUUUAAUUGACAAAUAAAAAUAUAUGUGUCCAAUAUUUUAUGAUAAUAAUAUAAAUAGAUGGACUAAAUUUUUUUAGGAUACUAACCUAAGUUUUGCGAACUUUUGGUUACUUUGGGUGUCACGAAUUAUUUGACGCUGACUGUACCUAACACUCCUCUCUGUUUAGUCUAUGAGUAGAGUAUGUCACAUAUAAAUACGCUUAUCAAAGUUCUGUGGUCAGCAGCAGAAUUUGUAGUGCCAUAUUAGGGCCAGAAUGCAAUUUAGACUUUAUGUACCUAUUUGUGAAUAAUUUAUAAGAAGAACGAAAGUCCUGUUACUAAAGUAUGAUUAUUUGUUCAACGAGUCAUAAUUUGAAGUAAAAUAUAAAUAGUUUUUCAAUUCAAUUUGGCAAACACUCGAAAAAUUCAGCCAGUAAGUAUUAAAAGAGUAUAUUUAAUUUAAAUGAUAUAAAAAUAUCGAGUGAUGCCAUGGUUUUUGACGAAUAUUCUUGUAUUAUUUUUAAAUAACAUAUUAUAUUUUACAGCUGUACCCCAAAGUAUGUUGUAGAAAUGUAUAGAGUAAUGCAUUAAUUGCAUACAGAUCUUUAUUAAAAUAAACACUAUUAACCUAACAUAGUGAAUUAAAUAUAUUUAUUGAAAAGUUGUAGAAAUAAUAUAUUAUUUCUAGAAUUUAGGUAAUAGUUUAUCAUGGUACUAGGUGAUUGUAAAUUGUAACCAUACGAAUGUAUGUAACACACAGACUUAUAACUUUAUUAAUGCUACAUUUGUACAUUCAAAGGUACUUUUUAGAGUUUUUAAAUACAUAAUAUAGUUAUUUGCCAUAAUAUUAUACCAUGUUUGCCUCAUCCAUUCUUUUUGUAAAAUUCGUCUUUCUUUUUUUAUAGUGCAAUCAUAGUUUUUAUAUUUAUUAGUAUAAUAUUUAUUGUGGAUUAAAUUA